CGUCAUUUCCAGCAGAAAGACUGGAAAACUGUAUUGAGAUAAAUGACAAAACCAAAAGGUUUCUGCAUUUGUGCGGGCAGGGAACAACCCUGAGUCGCUUCAGUGAGGUAGCAAAGACACAGAGCUCCCCGAGCAGCUUUUUGCCACUGCUUGAGCUUCAGCGCAGCCCAAGGGUAGGGGACCGAGAGGCCAAAACCGUCACCGCCAUCUCCGAGACCUCCAUCCCGGUGUAGUUUGCAGAGGUUCCUGCUGAGCAGGGGGGACGGCGGAACAGAAGCAAUGCCCCCCGGCAGCCCCCGUCCAGCGCGGAGCCCUGCCGCACCGGCAGAUCGAAACAAGGGGCCGGUCAAGGCCAGCAGCACGCGGGAGCCUGCAGCCGCGGGGCGAAGGAUCUGCCGGGCCGCCCGGGAGCGCGUGCUGCACCGACGCUCGCUCCGGAAAGGGAAACUUGAGCCUGCCGUUCUGCCCCUUCCUUUAUUGCCAAGCGGUUUGAUGACGACUCCCUCUCCCUAGAGGGUAAGGAGAUCUUUCCCAGUCUCCAUUCACAGCUGAGAGCUUCUCUGUGCAGGAUACCUUGGUCUGAAAUCUGGAAAUUGGAGGAUGUUUCACCUGUGCAAACUCAGGGCACGUCAAAGGCCACCUGCGGGGAGCAUGGUGGAGGAGGCUGCAGUGUGAGUGACCUGCACAGAAUAAUGGUCUCUCUUCCAGUUUCAAUAGAAAACAGAGGCUGAAGGAAGUAUGCUUCUUGACAGAGACCAGGGAAGGAACUUCUGACCAAACAUGCAAAACCACCUGAGUGUAAGAGUAUAAUAUGUAACACCAUAAAAUGACUUUCAGAUUCACAAAUGGAUUAAUGAUAUGUUUUGCAUCAGCUUGAGCAAUCAAUGUUGCUUUCAGCCUCUGUCAAUUAUUUAACACUCUAGUUUAUGCUUCUAAAAGCUGUGAUUAAAAGC